AAUGAACGUUGGCGGCAGGCUUAACACAUGCAAGUCGAGCGGAGCGAGGGUGCUUGCACCUUAGCUUAGCGGCGGACGGGUGAGUAAUGCUUAGGAAUCUGCCUAUUAGUGGGGGACAACAUUCCGAAAGGAAUGCUAAUACCGCAUACGCCCUACGGGGGAAAGCAGGGGAUCGUCGGACCUUGCGCUAAUAGAUGAGACUAAGUCGGAUUAGCUAGUUGGUGGGGUAAAGGCCUACCAAGGCGACGAUCUGUAGCGGGUCUGAGAGGAUGAUCCGCCACACUGGGACUGAGACACGGCCCAGACUCCUACGGGAGGCAGCAGUGGGGAAUAUUGGACAAUGGGCGGAAGCCUGAUCCAGCCAUGCCGCGUGUGUGAAGAAGGCCUUUUGGUUGUAAAGCACUUUAAGCGAGGAGGAGGCUCUUAAGGUUAAUACCCUUGAUGAGUGGACGUUACUCGCAGAAUAAGCACCGGCUAACUCUGUGCCAGCAGCCGCCGUAACAC
rnacentral:rRNA from 1 species